GCUUUCAAAAUCCUCCUCCUCCGCCAUCAUCUGCCGCCGUGCGGGGAGCAGGUGGUGUUGGAGGCUCGAGCGGCGAGAACCGCUCGGAGAGCUGACGGACAAGUGGGCUGGGCAUCGGGGCCGCUGGACUGGAGGCGGCGACCCCCACCUGAACUGACCCGGACCCUAAAUCAGUCCCCGCCCCGCCGGACCGACGUACGCGCUCCGGUCGACCCACGCGGCGGCGCCGCCUGUUUACGGUUGCAGAUUUCCAGGGGAGCCCACCAGCGUGGCCAGCAUGGCCUCUGAAGACAUUGCCAAGCUGGCAGAGACGCUAGCCAAAACCCAGGUGGCCGGGGGACAGCUGAGUUUCAAGGGCAAGAGCCUCAAACUCAACACUGCAGAAGAUGCCAAAGACGUGAUUAAGGAGAUUGAAGAUUUCGACGGCUUAGAGGCCUUGCGCCUGGAGGGCAACACGGUGGGCGUGGAAGCAGCCAGGGUCAUCGCCAAGGCCUUGGAGAAGAAGUCGGAGUUGAAGCGAUGCCACUGGAGCGACAUGUUCACGGGAAGGCUGCGGUCUGAGAUCCCACCUGCCCUGAUCUCACUCGGGGAGGGACUCAUCACAGCCGGGGCCCAGCUGGUGGAGCUGGACCUGAGUGACAACGCGUUCGGGCCCGACGGCGUGCGAGGCUUCGAGGCCCUGCUCAAGAGCUCCACCUGCUUCACCCUGCACAAACUCAAGCUCAACAACUGUGGCAUGGGUGUCGGUGGCGGCAAGAUCCUGGCAGCAGCUCUGACUGAGUGUCAUCGGAAGUCCAGUGCCCAAGGCAAGCCACUGGCCCUGAAGGUCUUCAUGGCUGGCAGAAACCGUCUGGAGAACGACGGAGCCACUGCCUUAGCAGAGGCUUUUGGGAUCAUCGGGACUCUGGAGGAGGUCCACAUGCCGCAGAACGGGAUCAAUCACCCCGGUGUCACUGCCCUGGCCCAGGCGUUCGCCAUCAACCCCCUGCUGCGGGUCAUCAACCUGAACGACAACACCUUCACCGAGAAGGGUGCCGUGGCCAUGGCCAAGACGCUGAAGGCCUUGCGGCAGGUGGAGGUGAUCAACUUCGGGGACUGCCUGGUGCGCUCCAAGGGCGCCGUCGCCAUCGCAGACGCCGUCCACGGGGGCCUGCCGAAGCUGAAGGAGCUGAACUUGUCAUUCGGUGAAAUCAAGAGGGAUGCUGCUCUGUCUGUUGCUGAGGCCGUGGCUGACAAGGUGGAGCUGGAGAAACUGGACCUCAAUGGCAACAACCUGGGAGAAGAAGGCUGUGAGCAGCUCCAGGAAGUGUUGGAUGGCUUCAACAUGGCCAAGGUGCUGGCGUCCCUCAGUGACGAUGAGGGUGAGGAUGACGAGGACGAGGAGGAGGAGGAGGAGGAGGAGGAGGAGGAGCCACAGCCGGGAGAGCGGAGGGAGCGGCCGACCGCACCGCCCAGGAAGAUGCUGGAUCCUGACGGUGGGGAACCAGCUCCUGUCCUGUCCUCCCCGCCUCCUGCAGACGUCUCCACCUUCCUGGCCUUCCCUUCCCCGGAGAAGCUGCUGCGCCUCGGGCCCAAGAGUUCCGUGCUGAUAGCCCAACAGACUGACACAUCUGAUCCGGAGAAGGUGGUCUCUGCCUUCCUGAAGGUGUCCUCCGUGUUCAAGGACGAAGCCACAGUGAGGUCGGCGGUGCAGGAGGCAGUAGAUACCUUGAUGAAGAAGGCCUUCAGCUCAUCCUCCUUCAACUCCAAUGCUUUCCUCACCAGGCUCCUCAUCCACAUGGGGCUGCUCAAGAGUGAAGACAAGAUCAAGGCCAUUGCCAACCUGUACGGCCCCCUGAUGGCAUUGAAUCACAUGGUGCAGCAGGAGUACUUCCCCAAGGCCCUUGCCCCUCUGCUGCUGGCAUUCGUGACCAAGAGAUGUUGCCUCAACCCAUGGGCCUUCGCUCGGACUGUCUGGGGUGUCCCCACGUGGUGGCCCUAGCCCCCGCCUGCCAACCCCUGACGAAGCCCGGCUCCCUCUGUCUCCUUCCAACCCCUGGUUGGGACUGUUCGCUCUGCAUUCCCAUCAUCCCCUGUGUGGCCCUUGGGCUGGGCAUGGACACCCUCGCCCUUGAUGGCCCAAUGGCGCCCUGGAAUCCUGCUCCUUUGCCCGCCACAAUCUACUGCAGACGCUCUACAAGGUCUAGACGCAAUCUGGUCUCUCCCCAUCCCUCGGCCUGGACCGGUGCCCUGGGAAGGGACUCAGAGGAAGGACUCUGGCCAGCAGCAGGGAGGGUCUUUGUCGCGUGUGUCGUGUCUCCUGAGUACGUGUGUUGGUGCGGCGUAUGUGCAGGUGUGUGCUUCGUGUCGGGGUUCGCAUUUUUAACGUCUCCCUGCUGGCCUGGCCCUGGUCCCGCUGGAGGGGAGCUGGCCCCCAGGCGGAAGGGCUGCAGGCUGCUCUGCCAUUAAACUCACCGCCAUCUGAGGACGCUCUGCUGAUCUGUGCCGCAGGCGCCAGGCCCUGGUGGCUGUCCCCACCCACCUCGCCUUCCUUAUCCUCUGGGGCUGCACCAAAGCCUGGGGUGUUGCUGUCCGUGUGCUGUUCCCUCCGUGUUGUGGCUGGGUGUUUCCUGCCCUGCCUGGGGCUGCUCACCCGAUGGCUGCCUCUGCUUCCUGUCGCCAAGUCCCGGUCCUGCAGCCGCCACUCUUCCUACCAUCCACCCACGCUGUGCUGAGCCCUCAGCCCGAGGGCCAGAGACUGCUGUGCGUGGGGCCGCGAGCAGAGGGCAAGACCCUGGCACCCACACCGUGUGGACAGGAAGAGAAGCCAGUGGGCAGACGCUAGGGUCUAGGCACUGGACUUGCCUGGACGGUGCCGGCUCUGUGCCCGGUGGGCCCUUCUCUGGCUGCGGAAGUGUCUGUGACAGGCCUGCGUGCUGAGCUGGAGGGGGCAUCUGGGCAGGCCCAAACCUGUUCUCCAGCCUGGGGGGGCAGGGCCAGGGCCCACUGAUGCCUGAGCUGCAUCUUGGGCACCCUUAAGGAUCUGGGGCAGGGGCCGGGUGGGGGCUGGGCAUGCCCUGUGACACCUUGCUUCCUCUCAUGCUCUUUGUGUGUCUGGGCUGUGCCCGGGGCUUCACAAAUAAAGUCAUGUGUAGCAGCA